rnacentral:rRNA from 1 species
GACGAACGCUGGCGGCGUGCUUAACACAUGCAAGUCGAACGGAAAGGCCCUGCUUUUGUGGGGUGCUCGAGUGGCGAACGGGUGAGUAACACGUGAGUAACCUGCCCUUGACUUUGGGAUAACUUCAGGAAACUGGGGCUAAUACCGGAUAGGAGCUCCUGCUGCAUGGUGGUGGUUGGACAGUUUCGGCGGUUGGGGAUGGACUCGCGACUUAUCAGCUUGUUGGUGGGGUAGUGGCUUACCAAGGCUUUAACGUGUAGCCGGCCUGAGAGGGCGACCGGCCACAUUUAGACUGAGAUACGGCCCAGACUCCUACUGGAGGCAGCAGUGGGGAAUAUUGCACAAUGGGCGGAAGCCUGAUGCAGCAACCCCGCGUGCGGGAUGACGGCCUUCGGGUUGUAAACCGCUUUCGCCUGAGACGAAGCGUGAGUGACGGUAAUGGGUAAAGAAGCACCGGCUAACUACGUG